rnacentral:rRNA from 1 species
AUCGAUGAAGAACGCAGCUAGCUGCGUGAAUUAAUGUGAAUUGCAGACACAUUGAACAUCGACAUUUCGAACGCACAUUGCGGAGCUGGGUUUCUCCCGGCUCCAGGUUCUGUUGACCGCGUCAUUCAGUGAAAGCUGUGACAUGCUGUGUCGCAUUGCCUGCUCGUUUCUAAACGAGGCCCUAGCAGCGACUGCUGGUUGUUUCUUUCGCCAGCCUGUUUCUAAGUCUCUGCAUGUGUCUUGCCUCGUUGCAGGUAAGGUGGCCGCUGUCUGCCUCUUCCUGACUGUGAGCUCGCAAGGACCGCUGGCCGUUUCCUCUCGCCAGCAUGUUUCUUUGGUCUUUGCAUGUUUCUUGCUCGGUCAGACGGCGGACAGCCGUGUCUAAAUUGGACUUGCUGCUGACGCCUUCGGUGUCAGUACCAGUCUUGAGUGAAGAUUGCUGCCCGUUUCUUCCCGGCAGCAUGUCUCGUUCAGGUCUUAGCCCUGCUUGGGGCUGAAAGCUCGCUCUCUGCGAUGCUCUGCUCGUGGUGUAAAUCACAGUCAUCCGCAAGCCUCCCUUCUACCAGCCGUUCUUGCUGGCCGUUUCUUUGGGAGUAUUGCCAUUUCUAGGGUGGUGCAGGGCGCUGCGGCUGUUUCUUCGAGUAAGCCAGUAAGCACGACAUCCCAGCUGGGUAGGAGACCUCUGCCAAUACUCUAGCGAGGCUGUGGCAACGUUUCUUUUUGCCUUGCGUCGUUGGAGGGCAGGCCCCUUACAGUUUACGCGUCAACUAGAGCCUGACUACCCGCUGAAUUUAAGCAUAUUAGUAAGCGGAGGAAAAGAAAAUAACAAUGAUUUCCUUAGUAACGGCGAGUGAAA